GGGUGCAAGCGUUAUUCGGAAUCAUUGGGCGUAAAGAGCGCGUAGGCGGUCUUCUAUGUCAGRUGUGAAAGCCCGGGGCUCAACCCCGGAAGUGCAYUUGAWACUGGSWGACUUGAGUAUGGGAGAGGGAAGUGGAAUUCCUGGUGUAGCGGUGAAAUGCGUAGAUAUCAGGAGGAACACCGGUGGCGAAGGCGACUUCCUGGACCAAUACUGACGCUGAGGCGCGAARGCGUGGGGAGCAAACAGGAUUAGAUACCCUGGUAGUCCACGCAGUAAACGAUGAACACUAGGUGUAGCGGGYAUUGACCCCUGCUGUGCCGCAGUUAACGCAUUAAGUGUUCCGCCUGGGGAGUACGACCGCAAGGUUAAAACUCAAAGGAAUUGACGG
rnacentral:rRNA from 1 species